rnacentral:rRNA from 1 species
GUGGGGAAUAUUGGACAAUGGGCGAAAGCCUGAUCCAGCCAUGCCGCGUGUGUGAAGAAGGUCUUCGGAUUGUAAAGCACUUUAAGUUGGGAGGAAGGGUAGUAACCUAAUACGUUGCUACUUUGACGUUACCGACAGAAUAAGCACCGGCUAACUUCGUGCCAGCAGCCGCGGUAAUACGAAGGGUGCAAGCGUUAAUCGGAAUUACUGGGCGUAAAGCGCGCGUAGGUGGUUCAGUAAGUUGGAAGUGAAAUCCCCGGGCUCAACCUGGGAACUGCUUUCAAAACUGCUGAGCUAGAGUACGGUAGAGGGUGGUGGAAUUUCCUGUGUAGCGGUGAAAUGCGUAGAUAUAGGAAGGAACACCAGUGGCGAAGGCGACCACCUGGACUGAUACUGACACUGAGGUGCGAAAGCGUGGGGAGCAAACAGGAUUAGAUACCCUAGUAGUCC